rnacentral:rRNA from 1 species
GACGAACGCUGGCGGCGUGCUUAACACAUGCAAGUCGAACGGAAAGGCCCUGCUUUUGUGGGGUGCUCGAGUGGCGAACGGGUGAGUAACACGUGAGUAACCUGCCCUUGACUUUGGGAUAACUUCAGGAAACUGGGGCUAAUACCGGAUAGGAGCUCCUGCUGCAUGGUGGGGGGUGGAAAGUUUCGGCGGUUGGGGAUGGACUCGCGGCUUAUCAGCUUGUUGGUGGGGUAGUGGCUUACCAAGGCUUUGACGGGUAGCCGGCCUGAGAGGGUGACCGGCCACAUUGGGACUGCGAUACGGCCCAGACUCCUACGGGAGGCAGCAGUGGGGAGUAUUGCACAAUGGGCGGAAGCCUGAUGCAGCAACGCCGCGUGCGGGAUGACGGCCUUCGGGUUGUAAACCGCUUUCGCCUGUGACGAAGCGUGAGUGACGGUAAUGGGUAAAGAAGCACCGGCUAACUACGUG